rnacentral:rRNA from 1 species
AGUCAAGUUACUCAAGGGCUAUUGGUGAAUGCCUUGGGAGAAGUAGCCGAUGAAGGACGUAGCAGACUGCGAUAAGCCUCGGGGAGGUGUCAAGCAACCUUUGAGCCGGGGAUGUCCGAAUGGAGCAAUCCAUCCGCCCUAUUUCUGCGCAAAAUUAUUUUUGCGCCUAAGCUCUUGUGACGAAGUCGUGACGAGCAAAGGCGUAGAAGUUGUGCGUAGAAACAGGGCGGAUACUUGCAGAUUGAAUACAUAGAUUUGCGAGAGGGAACCGCGGGAACUGAAACAUCUUAGUACCGUGAGGAAAAGAGAACAAAUGUUUAUUCCCUUAGUAGCGGCGAGCGAAAAGGGAAUGGCCUAAACUCUUGUUGUGUUAAAGCCUACAGGCCUUGCAACGAGAGGGUUAUAAGUCGUUACAUCUUGAUCUGUAGAGCAAGUCAGGAGUAAAAAAUUAUUUUCUUAGCAGAAGGUCCAUGGAAAGGGCCACCAGAGAAGGUGAUAGUCCUGUACGCGAAAAGAAAAUAACUCCGAGUAACCAAACUUAAGUACGACGGAACCCGUGAAAUUCUGUCGGAAAUUGCCAGGACCAUCUGGUAAGGCUAAAUACUACUUCUCACCGAUAGUGAACUAGUACCGUGAGGGAAAGGUGAAAAGUCCCCCGAUGAGGGGAGUGAAAUAGUACCUGAAACCAAUAGCCCGUCUAAGAGUCGGAGUCCGUCAGCUGACGGAUGACGGCGUGCCUUUUGUAGAAUGAGCCAACGAGUUAAUCUCAGUAGCAAGGUUAAGCCCUGUUAGAGGGCGGAGCCGUAGCGAAAGCGAGUGUGAAUAGCGCGUUUAAGUUGCUGGGAUUAGACCCGAAACCGGGUGAUCUAAUUAUGGUCAGGCUGAAGCUGCCCUAAAAAGCAGUGGAGGGCCGCACCCACUUACGUUGAAAAGUGAGGGGAUGAACUGUGAUUAGCGGAGAAAUUCCAAUCGAACCCGGAGAUAGCUGGUUCUCUCCGAAAUAUAUUGAGGUAUAGCCUCAUGUGUUCCUCCAAGUGGUAGAGCUACUGAAUGGAUUCGGGCGGGAAACCGUACCGCGUCCAAUUAAACUCCGAAUACUUGUGAGUCAAUAGCAUGGGAGUCAGACAGUGACGGCUAAGCGCCAUUGUCGAGAGGGGAAAAGCCCAGAUCGCCAACUAAGGUCCCUCAGUUUAGGCUAAGUGUUAAAGGAAGUGAGGGCACAUAGACAACCAGGAGGUUGGCUUAGAAGCAGCCAUCCUUUAAAGAUAGCGUAACAGCUCACUGGUCGAUGUGUGUUCGCGCCCAAAAUUUACCGGGGCUCAAGCCUAACACCGAAGUUGCGAAUCACGCUUUUAGCGUGGUGGUAGGAGAGCGUUCUGCUCGGCUGUGAAGUUGCACCGUGAGGUGUGGUGGAGCGGGCAGAAGUGAGAAUGUUGGCACGAGUAACGUAUUAACGCAGGUGAAAAACCUGCGCGCCGUAAACCCAAGGUUUCCUGGGCUAUGUUAAUCAUCUCAGGGUUAGUCAGACCUAAGCCGAGGCCGCAAGGCGUAGGCGAUGGAUAACAGGUUAAUAUUCCUGUACUGCUGUUUGUUCGCCACAGGUUCGUUGCGUUCUACGCCAAGGAGGUUGUUCCGGUUUACCGGGAUGGACACUUGGUUGCAGAUGCACCGCGCCUAGCUAUGGGGUGACGCAGGAUGGUAGGUUGAGCGGGUAGAGGUUUGCCCGUCUAAGCUGCUAGUGGGAUCUCUUUGGCAAAUCCGGGAGAUCUCCCUAAUUUUAGGGGUAACCAUGAUCAGUGAUGGAAAGUUUGCCGGCUUGCCGGCAGGCGAUUUAACUGAGCCAAACUGACCGGAAAACCCUCUCUGCGAGAACAAUCAGCACUCGUACCGCAAACCGACACAGGUGGGUGGGUCGAGUAGACCAAGGCGAUCGAGAGAACCCUCGUUAAGGAACUCGGCAAAAUAGCGUCCGUAACUUAGGGAUAAGGACUGCCCCGCCAUUUUAGGGUUAGUGUGAUAGCUUACCGAUCAAUUAACAGUUGAGUUAGUUUGGUUGGUGAUAACCACGCACGAACUUUAAAAUGGCGGGGCCACAGCAAAAGACUUCAGGCGACUGUUUAGCAAAAACACAGGUCUCUGCUAACUCGAAAGAGGAUGUAUAGGGACUGACGCUUGCCCAAUGCCAGAAGGUCACGUGGAUAGGUUAUCCAUCCCCAGUUCUUUGGAACUGGAGAUGGAAAAGCUUUGAAAUUAAGCCCUGGUGAAUGGCGGCCGUAACUAUAACGGUCCUAAGGUAGGAAAGCUGCCUUAGUAAAACUUGGCUAUAUGCUGGAAACUCUGGUGUAUGGAGUACUACUGAGAUACAAUUAAGACAAGUGAACACUAUUCCUUGUCUGAAUGAAAAUCAGUGACAAUGUAUCUCCUGCAGACAAUCAGCAGGAAAGGCUGAUCGGUUGGAUUAUAGGUUUUGUUGACGGAGAAGGAUGUUUCUCAAUUAAUUUUGCGAGACAACCUGAUCGUCAAGAAAAAACCAGAAUCCGCCGGGGGUAUAAAACAGGUUACCAAAUUUCCCAUCACUUUGCAGUGACGCAAGGUGAGCGCGGUUUAGCCGCGCUCGAAAGAAUCAAAUCUUUCUUCGGUGUCGGCCAGAUUUAUAGAAAUCGUAGGCAUGACAACCAUAAAGAAGAUUUAUUCAGCUAUAAAGUUGGGAAAAGAGCAGACUUGUUAAAAGUGAUAAUACCCUUCUUCGAGAAAAGUGCAUUGCAAACAUCAAAGCGAAAUGACUUUGCGUUGUUUGCUCAGUGUGUAAGGUCUAUGUCUAAAAAAGAACACCUCAAUGUUGAGGGUAUGGUAAAGAUGGCAAGACUUACACAACUGAUGAACCAUAAAAAAUCUCGGAUAAAACUGAUCAGAAUCCUCAGAGACUACACGCCAAGCUCGAUCACAAAAGGUCGAGAAGAUAUAGUCCCAUCUGCAUAGCGAUAUGCAGUGCCAACAGCUCAAUAUGUUGGCAACUUAAUGUGAAUUAAGUAAGACUCCGAGCGAAAUUCCUUGUCGGGUGAGUCGAGAAACAAGCCCGACGUUAAACUGAUGGCUGUAACGGUGGAGCCUAACCUGUCCGUGUGGGGCAGUAUGGUGAUACCGUGGGAAGUCGACCCAAACCAAACAAUCUUCACUAUAUUCAGGUUUUGGGUUUGACCCCGUAGAGACUACACGCCAUCCUCCGAUGUAUUGAAGAACAUUCGGGGAAGAUAUAGUCCACGCCCAAUUGAAAAAUUGAGAUGACGAAAUUAGUGGUAACCCGCGCACUAUCAUGCAAUGCAUAAAGUGCGGGGUUCACUCACAAAAUAAUUUUGUUCGUGAAGUUCCGACCCGCACGAAUAGCGGAACGGUCUGAAGACUGUCUCAACGAGGGACUCGGUGAAACUACAUUGCCGGUGAAGAUGCCGGAUAUCAGCAGCAAGACAAAAAGACCCCGUGGAGCUUUACUACAAUCUGAUAUUGGAUUAAGUGUUUGUGUGUGUAGGAUAGGUGGGAGACUUAGAAGCCUCGACGCUAGUCGAGGUGGAGUCACCGUUGAAAUACCACCCUUACUCUCGCUUGAUUCUAACCUGUGCCAUUACCUGGUAUGGGGACAGUGUUUGAUGGGUAGUUUAACUGGGGCGGUUGCCUCCCAAAGAGUAACGGAGGCGUUCAAAGGUUCCCUAGCACCGAAUGGAAACCGGUGUGAUAGCGCAAUAGUAUAUGGGAGCUUAACUGCGAGACCUAUAAGUCAAGCAGAUGCGAAAGCAGGAUAUAGUGAUCCGACGGUUGCACAUGGGUGCGCCGAAGCUCAACAGAUAAAAGUUACCCCGGGGAUAACAGGCUUAUCGGGUCCAAGAGUCCACAUCGACGACCCGGUUUGGCACCUUAAGACAUUGGGGUGCUACAGAAGUGAUUCUGUACCAAAAAUUUGGCUUA